rnacentral:rRNA from 1 species
GACGAACGCUGGCGGCGUGCUUAACACAUGCAAGUCGAGCGGAGCGGCGAACGGGUGAGUAACGCGUGAGUAACUGCCCCCCUCUCUGGGAUCACAGUUGGAAACGGCUGCUCAUACCGGCUAGUGGGGGAUGACUCGCGUCCUAUCAGCUUGUUGGUGGGGUAGGGGCCUACCAAGGCGACGGCGGGUAGCCGGCCUGAGAGGGCGACCGGCCACAUUGGGCUGAGGUACGGCCCAAACGCCGACGGGAGGCAGCAGUGGGGAAUAUGGCACAAUGGGGGAAACCCUGAGGCAGAAACGCCGCGGGCGGGAGGACGGCCUUCGGGUUGUAAACCGCUUUCAGCCAUGACGCGGUAGUGGCAGAAGAAGCACCGGCUAACUACGUGCCAGCAGCCGCGGUAAUUC